UCCGCAGUAGCUCAACGGUAGAGCAUCCGGCUGUUAACCGGAGGGCUGCAGGUUCGAGUCCUGCCUGCGGAGCCA
rnacentral:tRNA from 1 species